UACGGAGGGGGCUAGCGUUGUUCGGAAUCACUGGGCGUAAAGGGCGCGUAGGCGGCCGAUUAAGUCGGGGGUGAAAGCCUGUGGCUCAACCACAGAAUUGCCUUCGAUACUGGUUGGCUUGAGACCGGAAGAGGACAGCGGAACUGCGAGUGUAGAGGUGAAAUUCGUAGAUAUUCGCAAGAACACCAGUGGCGAAGGCGGCUGUCUGGUCCGGUUCUGACGCUGGAGGCGCGAAAGCGGUGGGGAGCAAACAGG
rnacentral:rRNA from 1 species